CUCGCGAUAGCUCAGUUGGUAGAGCGGAGGGCUGUAGAUCCUUAGGUCGAUGGUUCGAAUCCGUCUCGCGAGA
rnacentral:tRNA from 1 species